AACAGGCCACAAAGGAAGGGAUUGCUGAGCUGCAGAUUUCUCCCAGAAAUCGGGAGUUGGCUGGGACUGAGCCAGGCCCUAAGAGAGCCCCUGGCAGCCCCAGGGGCUCCUGGGGCAAUAACGGGGCAUCCACCAGGAUCUUCUGAGGCUCUAUCUCUGCUGGGAAGCCAGUGCCUGCUGAAUGCGGGGGUGUCCUACCUUUUCCUGCUCUCAUCAACUGCCCUGUGUGAGCUGCGCAUGUGACUGACUGAUUAGUGGGGUGGUUUAUCUCCUCUGAACUUGGAGUUUGCCUCUCCAUUCCUUGAAGACAGCUGCUCCUUCCCACAAGGGGGGGGUUCAGUGAAUUUGGGAAGAUCCCAAGUGGAUUCCCAGGCAUCCUGGUGGACACCUGCAAGGGACUAGGAGGGGGCCCUGUGAUCAUAUGGGCGGUGGUUCUGGGCCUUAUGAUCUCCUCAUUGCGUCCCCCUCUGCCCACUGGACUUGGACUUCAGAUCUGAUCCCACCUGCCGGCUACCUCGGGAGGGCCCACCUC
rnacentral:sRNA from 1 species